rnacentral:rRNA from 1 species
ACUUGACGUACCUAACCAGAAAGCCACGGCUAACUACGUGCCAGCAGCCGCGGUAAUACGUAGGUGGCAAGCGUUGUCCGGAAUUAUUGGGGGUAAAGGGCUCGCAGGCGGUUUCUUAAGUCUGAUGUGAAACCCCCGGCUCACCGGGGAGGGUCAUUGGAAACUGGGGAACUUGAGUGCAGAAGAGGAGAGUGGAAUUCCACGUGUAGCGGUGAAAUGCGUAGAGAUGUGGAGGAACACCAGUGGCGAAGGCGACUCUCUGGUCUGUAACUGACGCUGAGGAGCGAAAGCGUGGGGAGCGAACAGGAUUAGAUACCCUGGUAGUCCACGCCGUAAACGAUGAGUGCUAAGUGUUAGGGGGUUUCCGCCCCUUAGUGCUGCAGCUAACGCAUUAAGCACUCCGCCUGGGGAGUACGGUCGCAAGACUGAAACUCAAAGGAAUUGACGGGGGCCCGCACAAGCGGUGGAGCAUGUGGUUUAUUCGAAGCAACCCGAAGAACCUUACCAGGUCUUGACAUCCUCUGACAAUCCUAGAGAUAGGACGUCCCUUCGGGGCAGAGUGACAGGUGGUGCAUGGUUGUCGUCAGCUCGUGUCGUGAGAUGUUGGGUUAAGUCCCGCAACGAGCGCAACCCUUGAUUUUAGUUGCCAGCAUUCAGUUGGGCACUUUAAGGUGACUGCCGGUGACAAACCGGAGGAAGGUGGGGAUGACGUCAAAUCAUCAUGCCCCUUAUGACCUGGGCUACACACGUGCUACAAUGGACAGAACAAAGGGCAGCGAAACCGCGAGGUUAAGCCAAUCCCACAAAUCUGUUUUCAGUUCGGAUCGCCGUUUGCAACUUGACUGCGUGAAGCUGGAAUCGCUUGUAAUCGCGGAUCAGCAUGCCGCGGUGAAUACGUUCCCGGGCCUUGUACACACCGCCCGUCACCCCCCGAGAGUUUGUAACACCCGAAGUCGGUGAGGUAACCUUUUAGGAGCCAGCCGCCCAAGGU